UACGGGGGGGGCAAGCGUUGUUCGGAAUUACUGGGCGUAAAGGGCUCGUAGGUGGCCAACUAAGUCAGACGUGAAAUCCCUCGGCUUAACCGGGGAACUGCGUCUGAUACUGGAUGGCUUGAGUUUGGGAGAGGGACGCGGAAUUCCAGGUGUAGCGGUGAAAUGCGUAGAUAUCAGGAAGAACACCUAUGGCGAAAGCAGCUCUCUGGGACGGUACUGACGCUGAGACGCGAAAGCGUGGGGAGCGAACAGG
rnacentral:rRNA from 1 species